AUUGAACGCUGGCGGCAUGCUUUUACACAUGCAAGUCGGACGGCAGCACAGAGAAGCUUGCUUCUUGGGUGGCGAGUGGCGAACGGGUGAGUAACAUAUCGGAACGUACCGAGCAGUGGGGGAUCAACUAAUCGAAAGAUUAGCUAAUACCGCAUAUAUUCUGAGGAAGAAAGCAGGGGACCAUUUGGCCUUGCGCUGUUUGAGCGGCCGAUAUCUGAUUAGCUAGUUGGUGGGGUAAAGGCCUACCAAGGCGACGAUCAGUAGCGGGUCUGAGAGGAUGAUCCGCCACACUGGGAUGAGACACGGCCCAGCCCGGGUGGGGAAUUUUGGACAAUGGGCGCAAGCCUGAUCCAGCCAUGCCGCCGUGUCUGAAGAAGGCCUUCGGGUUGUAAAGGACUUUUGUCAGGAAAGAAAAAGGCGGGGU
rnacentral:rRNA from 1 species